UACGUAGGGUGCAAGCGUUAAUCGGAAUUACUGGGCGUAAAGCGUGCGCAGGCGGUUUUGUAAGUCUGAUGUGAAAUCCCCGGGCUCAACCUGGGAACUGCAUCUGUGACUGCAUCGCUGGAGUGCGGCAGAGGGGGAUGGAAUUCCGCGUGUAGCAGUGAAAUGCGUAGAUAUGCGGAGGAACACCGAUGGCGAAGGCAAUCCCCUGGGCCUGCACUGACGCUCAUGCACGAAAGCGUGGGGAGCAAACAGG
rnacentral:rRNA from 1 species